rnacentral:rRNA from 1 species
AGUGAACGCUGGCGGUAGGCCUAACACAUGCAAGUCGAACGGCAGCACAGUAAGAGCUUGCUCUUACGGGUGGCGAGUGGCGGACGGGUGAGGAAUACAUCGGAAUCUACUUUUUCGUGGGGGAUAACGUAGGGAAACUUACGCUAAUACCGCAUACGACCUACGGGUGAAAGCAGGGGAUCUUCGGACCUUGCGCGAUUGAAUGAGCCGAUGUCGGAUUAGCUAGUUGGCGGGGUAAAGGCCCACCAAGGCGACGAUCCGUAGCUGGUCUGAGAGGAUGAUCAGCCACACGGGAACUGAGACACGGUCCAGACUCCUACGGGAGGCAGCAGUGGGGAAUAUUGGACAAUGGGCGCAAGCCUGAUCCAGCCAUACCGCGUGGGUGAAGAAGGCCUUCGGGUUGUAAAGCCCUUUUGUUGGGAAAGAAAAGCAGCAGGUUAAGACCCCGCUGUUCUGACGGUACCCAAAGAAUAAGCACCGGCUAACCUCGU